GAUACUGAGAUCAAGGAGCCUGUUCACACGAGGCGUUUCUGCCGCGCGAUUGCGGCCGCGCGUUAACGUUUGCACGAGCCGCACGCUGUCGCGAGGUAUAAGGUGCGACAACGCGCGCAUACGCGCGUACGCGAAACGGCAGUAACACCGUAAUCGUGCCGGCGAUAUACUGAAUUGAAAAUUGAAUUGCUUCGUGCUUAUCCCGAGAUUUCGUAUCCCUACAUCGUGUUACCACCGCUGCCGGAAAAGAAGGUUCUCUACGCUUGGCAGAAAGUGACGACUGACACGUUCGAUCCCGAUUUCGUUGAUCGCAGAAGAGCUGGACUCGAGAGGUAUUACAUAUUGACAGCAGAGAGCUGAUACUGAGGAGAUCAAGGAGCCUGUUCACAGGUAUAUAUUGACGGCAGGGAGCUGAUGCCGAGGAGAUCAAUCCCGUUUACGCGCGAAGGAAUUAUCCAAUUAGAUAAGGAACUAAAGUUUCGUCAUAUCUGAAAAAUGGCACCACCGAAGGUAUUACUCGGACAAAAUCGACAAAACAGCACUGCAACUUUGAGGAAAGGAAUAACGACCAGAAGUCAAAAUUCUUUACAGAGCAAUGUAUUACGACAACCCAAUGUUGAUAGAGAAAUUCGCGCCAAGCGAAAAGUGGAAGUUUCGCCGUUUAAAGAAAAAACGCAUAAAAGAUGCGCUUUUGC